rnacentral:rRNA from 1 species
CCAACAUCGAGGUGCUAAGACAAUUUGUAAAUGUGAACUUUUAAAAUUGAGUAGCCUGUUAUCCCUACGGUAACUUAAUUGAAUAUAUAAAAGGUGAAAUUAUGGUUUAGGUUAUAAAAAGAUGGAAGUUAUCUUGAAUCGUCCCAAUUUAAAAUAAGACUAGAUGAAUUUAGUUAGUAUUUAAGCUCGCUAGGGUCUUUUGGUCUUUUUAUAAGAUAUGAAAUUUUUCAUUCAUAGAUUAAGUUUUAGAGAUAAAAUUUAGAAAGAAAUUUUUUGUAAAUCCAUUCAUUCUAGUUCCUAAUUAGGGAACAAAUGAUUAUGCUACCUUUGCACGAAAACGCGGCCGUUUAAUAAUCAC